rnacentral:tRNA from 1 species
GCGGGAGUGCCGGAGCGGUCAAACGGGCUGCCUUGAGGUGGCAGUGGCGUAGUGCCUGCACAGGUUCGAUUCCUGUCUCCCGCA